rnacentral:rRNA from 1 species
GACGAACGCUGGCGGCGUGCUUAACACAUGCAAGUCGAACGGAAAGGCCCUGCUUUUGUGGGGUGCUCGAGUGGCGAACGGGUAAGUAACACGUGAGUAACCUGCCCUUGACUUUGGGAUAACUUCAGGAAACUGGGGCUAAUACCGGAUAGGAGCUCCUGCUGCAUGGUGGGGGUUGGAAAGUUUCGGCGGUUGGGGAUGGACUCGCGGCGUAUCAGCUUGUUGGUGGGGUAGUGGCUUACCAAGGCUUUGACGGGUAGCCGGCCUGAGAGGGUGACCGGCCACAUUGGGACUGAGAUGCGGCACAGACUCCUACGGGAGGCAGCAGUGGGGAAUAUUGCACAAUGGGCGGAAGCCUGAUGCAGCAACGCCGCGUGCGGGAUGACGGCCUUCGGGUUGUAAACCGCUUUCGCCUGUGACGAAGCGUGAGUGACGGUAAUGGGUAAAGAAGCACCGGCUAACUACGUG